CAGAAUAGAGGAGAGAUUUGCCUCUCCUAGCAGCAGCAAGAGUUCCAAGAAAUUGGUGAAUCUGCAAAUAUGAGAACUGACUGAUAUUUCAAUACUACUACAUUUCCUCAAGGUUUCCAAAUGCAUUAGAAUUACCCAAAGAACCGGAUGAACAGAUUCAUCACCAUUGAUCAAAACCGACUUUGAGGAUGUCCUUCAGGUGCGUCAGUUGGUGAUUUGAAACAAGUGC
rnacentral:lncRNA from 11 species